ACUUCCGUACCCCUCUUCCAAGCUUUCCUCCUAAAACCCUACCUUAAAACAUCAAUCUCGUUUCCGCUCUCUCGUCUCCAAAGCCAAGGUUCCAUUAUCACCACCAUCACCACCGUUCAUUCCUUUUCCGUGCGAACGGCGCCAAUAGCUUGGAAAGGUUGAAAUUGAAACUGAAACCUGAAGAAGGAAGAGCGAAAGAAGAGGAGAAAUGAAGGAAGAGAGGGCAGAGAGAGAGCUCUACGCUCUUCUCCACAUCUCUCCAGAAGCUUCCGACGAGGAGAUCAGGAAAGCCUACCGUCAGUGGGCCCAGAUCUAUCACCCUGAUAAAUACCAAUCUCCGCAGAUGAAAGAUAUUGCUACUGAAAACUUCCAAAGGAUCCGUGAUGCCUAUGAAAUCUUAACCGAUGAGCACAAAAGGCAAAUAUAUGAUAUAUAUGGUAUGGAAGGACUAACUUCAGGUUUGGAGCUUGGUCCAAAACUGAAUAAACUAGAAGAAAUCAAGGAAGAAUUUGAGAGGCUGCGGCGUCGAAAGGAGGAAGAAAAGAUCUCCGCCCAUGUCCGACCUUCUGGUUCACUUCUUGCCAAUUUAUCUUUGCCGCAAUUUUUAAGUGGUGGUGGCAUAUUGAGAGGAAUGGCAAUGUCGAGUGAAGUUCAAUCCCAGAUAUCGAAGCGAAAUACUAUUGUUAUUGGUGGGAACUUAGCUGUUACUGGAAAUUCUGGUGGUGGGGCAGCGACAGCUUUGUUGAGGCACCAGCUCUCUUCAGUUGCUUCCAUAGAGUUUAUGGCUUCAGCUGGUCUACGGGCUCUCAUUGGAGUACAAACAACUCGUAAUCUAUCUGUUCAUUCGACUGCCACUACUGGAAUUGCAAUGUCUUUGAGAGAUGGCUCAAUCAAUCUUUCCAAUACUUGGACUCGGCAACUCUCAGAAACAUCAAAUGGAAAUAUACAACUUGUUUUAGGUGUUGAAUCUACUAUUGCUGCUGGAUGGCAAAGGAAAGAUGAAAAAACAUCUGCUGCUGGGGAGGUGAAGUUUGGGACCAGUUCUUUUGGUGCAUCAGCUCAUUAUACUCGUCAUUUCUCCUCAAAGUCUCAUGGAAGAAUUGCUGGUAGAAUUGGAAGCACUGCUCUUGAAUUUGAAGUUGGGGGUGGAAGAAGAAUAUCUGAUUUCAGCACUGUCCGAAUGCUCUAUACCUUAGGCAUUCAGGGAAUCUUUUGGAGAAUUGAAUUGAAUCGUGGGGGGCAAAAGCUAAUAAUUCCUGUCUUGCUUUCUAGACAUUUGAAUCCAAUAAUCGCGACUGGGGCAUUAAUCAUUCCAUCAUCACUUUAUUUUCUCCUCAAGACGUUUGUUGUCAAACCUUAUUACCGCAAAAGGGAGAGACAGAAGGCGCUAGAGAAGAUGGAAAAAUCUUCAGCUCAGGUCCAAGAGGCAAGGGCAGCAGCCGAAAAGGCUCAGCAGUUAUUACAAAAUGUCGCGAAUAGGAAGAAAAACAAACAACUAGAUACAGAGGGACUAGUUAUUACAAAAGCUUUGUAUGGAAACCGUAAGGCUUUUAAGAGGAGGAAUGAAUCAAGAGAAGUAGAUGAUGAACUGGCUUCACAAGUUCUGGACGUUACCAUACCUCUGAACUUUCUGGUGAAUGAUUCUGCGCAACUUAAGCUUCAUGAGGGUAUAAAGAAAUCAGGCAUUAUGGGUUUCUGUGAUCCCUGCCCUGGAGAACCUAAACAGUUGCAUGUGGAGUACACUUAUGGUGGCAACAAAUUCGAGGUGGCAGUCGAUGACUAUGAGGAAUUGGUGAUUCCACAGGAGAUCCAUAGGAUCUAGGUCUCCUCAGUAAUUCAUUUAUUUUACGCUGUAGCCGGUUGCCUCUAACAAUUUUGCAUGCUCUUGAGGUACCAUGCCAAUUUUCACAGUUGAUAAAAUCAUCUGCUGCUGAAACUUUGUGCGUCUCAUCGGGCAUGCCGAAGCCUGCAAAGGGUCUGACUAGGCGAGGUCGGCUACCUUGGCCACUGCUGCCUUGAGUGACAGUGUGUAUAGUUCUUUACUUAGUUCUAGGAAACUCAGCUUGAUGUAUGCACCAUAUAAGUUAAGGGGCUGGUAUUCCUGUGGUUCUGCCCUAGAAACCACAGCUCUCAGGGCACGUACAUACAUUUCCUUUCAGGUGGUUCUGCAUUUGAGAUGCUACUUUCCAGUUUUCU